AAUGCAUCUUUUGACAUCCAAUGAUACUCCCAUCUGUAUUAUUAUUAAUCCACAAUGAUUGAAUAUUAUUAUAAUUCUUACUUCUAACAAAACAAGUACCAGGUCACCUUUCCAUUGUCAGUGCACAUACUUUUACCAAGAGAACCAAUCAAUUGCGAGAACGUACCGAUAAACACGCCCAUGUGUAGUCAUUCACACGUUUAAUAGCUUUGACCCAGUGAUCGAGUCAAUACACAUUGUCACGUGACCUGUGUAUUCCAUAUUUGUAAACAAAAUACCUUAGUUAAAUAUAGUCUGUUUCAAAAGUUAUAGUUUCCCUUUCUCGCUGCCGAAAUGCUCCAUAAAGAUCAUAAUCAUAGAAAUGGUAUUUGUUUUGCGUGUAUGACUGGGAUGGGGCUAGAGACACAUUCGCAGUACUGUAAAAUACUUAUUUGCUGUAGUGUGGAUGUGCACUUACCCCCAAAACAGUCCAGUCAGUGAAAAUGUAAUUCUACUUCCUAGCAUAUUUUAGAAUUGAAAUUAAUAACACCAUGUCACGUAUACUUGUAUUGUAUUUAGAGCAACUGUUCGCUCAUACAUCAUGUAAUAUGAUUUGAGGUGAAAUAAAGUGUUGUCUAUGUCUAUGUCUAUGUAAUAUGUUAUAAACGUGUAACCGUAUACAGUAUUUUUCUACUUCCAGUGUAUUUUAAGCAUAGAUUUUUGCUAUGAAAAUUAGAAAUAUUUCUAACAUGCAUUUGCAUAACUGUUGGUAAUAAUUCUACCACUCUCUUAAUAAGCAUUUAUAUAGUAAAACUAUGAAAAUAUUGAAUUUCAAACCUAAUCAAAAUUCGAGCCUUUGUAACAAUAACUCGUGAAAUCCUAAUCCUGAAUUCAUCAAAUGCGUAAAUUUACAAACAGAGAGAGAGAGAGAGAGAGAGGGAGAGAGUGAAACGAGAGCUUUUCUCGUCACAAAAAUCUGCCACAUUUAAUUAAUAGGUCUUCAAACACUUCACCUAACUUCCAUUGUGUACGUUGUCUACACAUUUGGUCCUUGAAAGAAAUAACAUUUGGUCAGUGUUUGAGAAAAGUAUAAAGGAUUUAUGGCAGACUUGUGGCGAGUAAAGCACUCAUUUUUCAUUAAAAUCUGUCAAGUAAUAAGGAAAUUAUAUAUGCAACAAUCUAACAUGAAUCCAGCGAUACUUCCAGUGCGCUUACCGAAAAGUCACGUUGUUGAGCCUGAUUUAAUAUCACAUCGCUUUAUUAAAGCAACAAAGUGUCAAUGCGUUUGCAAUUUUGGUUUUGAAAUAAGUAUAUAUAAUACUUGUUAUCAUGUCACUGAACGACCCAAAAGAUGAAUUUUGUGCAAUUUGUUACUGACAGGUGAAAGAUUUUCUAGUUUUCUUACUUUAAAACUAUUACAAAAAUGAUAAUUUCCAAUAUUCUAACAGAAAAGCGAAUGUAGUGUACACAAUGGUUUGAAUAUUCCAACCCAUCCUGAAUUGUAAGUGACGACUUGGGACAAACAACGCCGGUUACCACAAUUUUGCUGACUGACCUAUCAAUGCCGCAAAUUCUAAGUAGGCAGGGUAUCCUUGAUAUGGACUGUGUCAAUAACAAUAUAUGACAGCUAUUUCUUUCAGACUUAAAUUAGUUUUUCUUACUUUUAUUUCGUUAUUCAGCCUUGUGUCUCAAAAUUGUGGAAGACGUGGAAAGUCGAAACUCAAAUUAAGGUCUAGUGCUUAAUUGUAAUCUGAUAGAGUACCGUAUUCCAUCUGGCACUACAAAUUCUAGACAGCGUUUAAUCAUAGGGACUGUUCAAGAGUAAUAAUGGAGCGCCUAGCACUGUAGUACACAGGAAAAAAAGAAAAGAUAGAAAGCUGCAACUUCAGUGA
rnacentral:lncRNA from 1 species